UGCCAGCCGCCGCGGUAAUACGGGGGGUGCAAGCGUUAAUCGGAAUUACUGGGCGUAAAGCGCGCGUAGGCGGUUUGUUAAGUCAGAUGUGAAAGCCCUGGGCUCAACCUGGGAAUUGCAUUUGAUACUGGCAGACUAGAGUAUGGUAGAGGUAAGCGGAAUUUCCAGUGUAGCAGUGAAAUGCGUAGAGAUUGGAAGGAAUAUCGAUGGCGAAGGCAGCUUACUGGGCCAAUACUGACGCUGAGGUGCGAAAGCGUGGGUAGCGAACGGGAUUAGAUA
rnacentral:rRNA from 1 species